rnacentral:rRNA from 1 species
AACGAACGCUGGCGGCAGGCCUAACACAUGCCAGUCGAGCGAGAUCUUCGGGUCUAGCGGCGGACGGGUGAGUAACGCGUGGGAAUAUGCCUCUUGGUACGGAAUAGCCUCGGGAAACUGGGAGUAAUACCGUAUGUGCCCUUUGGGGGAAAGAUUUAUCGCCAAGAGAUUAGCCCGCGUUGGAUUAGGUAGUUGGUGGGGUAAUGGCCUACCAAGCCGACGAUCCAUAGCUGGUUUGAGAGGAUGAUCAGCCACACUGGGACUGAGACACGGCCCAGACUCCUACGGGAGGCAGCAGCGGGGAAUCUUAGACAAUGGGGGCAACCCUGAUCUAGCCAUGCCGCGUGAGUGAUGAAGGCCUUAGGGUUGUAAAGCUCUUUCAGCUGGGAAGAUAAUGACGGUACCAGCAGAAGAAGCCCCGGCUAACUCCGUG